UGGGUUCUGGGUUCUCAGAAACCCCUGCCCCUGCCUUCCAAGUGCUGGGAUUAAAGGCGAGCGCCAUCACUGCCUGGCGCAACCCUAUUCUUAAGGGAACUUUAUGCAUGAGAGCAGGUCACUCAAAUAGUAAAUGCCUUGGAGACUUAUAAUUCUGUAGCACCACAUACUAUGUCCAUUGAAAACACAAAUAGCAGAGUGGGUGAUUGACAGCUGAAGAUUUCAGACAUUUAGUUCACAUUCAGUAUAAUUCAAAUGAAAGACUCUUUGAAUUGUUGAACGUCAAACUUCACUUUUAGAUUGUUUGCAACAAGGUGAAUGAUUUAAAGGCAGUUUAAAAUUCAGUUGAUAUUUAAUUUUUAAUCAUUAAAUUACAAACAAGUUCUAGUCUAAACAGAGUAUGUGUGUGUGUGUAUACCUACAUUGUAUAAAUUUUUUUUGUUGUUUCUGUUGUUUGUUUUUCAAGACAGUUUCUCUGUGUAGCUCUGGCUGUCUUGGAACUUGUUCUGUAGAUCAGGCUGGCCUCAGACUCAGAGAGAUCUACCUGCCUCUGCCUUCCAAGUGCUAGGAAUAAAGGUAUGUGCUAUCACUGCCUGUCCAGAGAGAAUACUUUAAAUACUGACACCCACAGUGCUCUGUGACGUAAAAUGUACUGACUGAGUGACUCCAAAAGAGGAAUGUGGUUUUCAAAUUUGGAUUUAGAUAUUGUGAUCAUUACUGUAUCUAAUAUAUCUAAGUUAAUACAUUUUUGCUUUGUAGAGCAAUUUUUGUCUAGAGCAUGGAGAAAGAGAAGGGACUGGCGGGAUGUCUGCUGGCAUAGGGGAAACCCCAGGAGCAAGUUUAUAACAAUAAAAUAAAAGUGAUUACAAGAAUCUUAAGAGAAUCUUUAGUGUGGUACUUGUUCUCCCUCCUCCAUACAGUUGAAAGUACAGAGUGAGGGAUUAAAUACCCGAUUUUACUCAGGUUGGACUCAAACUAGCAAUUAAGGAAAUGGUACAAAGCAUUGAAGGGAAACCAGAAGGGACGUAGCAUGCAGAGACUGCAUGAGUGAAUCUUUGCAUACCAAGCAUACCCCUUCUUGCCUUGGCAAGCGUUUCGGUCAAGGUGGGACUGUCUUCUCUACAUCUGUGCAUUGGAAGUUACUGGUGACUUCAGCCAAGACUGAAUUCAGGCCAUCCUGCUACUGGUUAGAAGCUUUGCCAGCUGAGCCAGUAGACCACCUGCUUCUGAUUUUCUGUCCCAUUUCAAAUAAAUGGAGGAUGUUAAUUCUUCUCUUGGUGUCAACAUCAAGUGAAAAUUUCAUUUCAAGAACUUGGUAAGGGGAAGUACGACUUGGUUAAUUGGUGUGUUAUAUUUUGUUCCCUAAAGAACAGCAUCUUUUGGGGCUAGAGAGAUGGCUCAGCAGUCAAGAACACUGAUUGGUCUUCCAAAGGUCCUGAGUUCAAAUCCCAGCAACCACAUGGUGGCUCACAACCACCUGUAAUGAGAUCUGCUACAGUAUACUUAGAUAUAAUAAAUAAAAAAGUCUAAAAAAAAAAAAAAGAGAAAAGAAUAGUAUCUUUUAAUUGUGAUCCUGACACAAGGUGUCCAGCUAUAAGCUGUAGAAUAUUUUAGUAGCAGAGGACUAUUGCAUUUGUGUUUGAUAGGAUACUUAAGAGUAUAAACCAUUUCACCUAGUUUCCUCUGUCUACCACUGUUACUACCCCAGUGUCUACCACUGUUACUACCCCAGUGUCUACCAAUGUUGUUACUACUUUGAAGGAUAGUAACUUUAACGAAUUGUUCUUUCUGUAUUCCAAGAGGUGGAAGACUUGCAUCUUUCAUUCAGUGAUAGUUCCAUAGUGGAACUUGGACAGACCACAGUUUACAUUCUGCUGUUGCCACUACUAAGUGUUACUAAGAGCCUUGGUUCUCUUCAGUAUCCACAUCAGGAUGGCCUUGAAGCAAGCAUGCAUUACACUGAACACUAUGUCCAGGAUAUUUGAUUGACUUUAAGAAGAUCCUAUAUUCUCAUACAGAGGAGUUAUCAGACUCGUGCUGGUGUCUUAUCAGAAAAGUUGCCACGUGCAUUCUGAAAGGCUCGGUUGCUGAAGUCCUGAUUGUUUCCUAUCCCCCGCCCCACCGAGUGGUGACUUAUUUCAACGGACCCACUCUUUGCUUGAGCAAAGACAUAGUGCUAUAGUCAAUUGAGGAGCUGAGAAACAUUUACCACAAAGAGCUAGCAGUGACACCCUCUUCCAGAGCCUGGCGUGUUCCUGCAGCUGCACCAUCUUUUAGUCCAGACACUAAUGAAUCAUAAGGCCCUAUUUAUUGACAUUGAAAAAUCUCCAUGGAGAGUUUCUAUAAAUCCACAUGCCAAAAAGAGAUGUGCAACAGAGAAAGACAAAGCAAAAGAUCGUAGUUGAAAAUCUGGAUCCUAUCAACCAACUUGUCUGGAUUGAUCCAAGCUCUGCAACUUAGAUGCUCUUUGACCUUGACUAAAUUAGUCAACUUCUGCAUGCUUCAGUUUCCUUAUAUCUGCAAAAUACAGACAUUGGCUGCUACUUUAGAGGCUGGACUUGAAGGACUGACCUAAUAUUUGCAAUGUUUGUAGAUGCUCAACAUUUUAUAAGCGUUUGUUAAACAUAUGCUGGAUAUGGAUAAUGGGUGGUUUGCUGAGCUAACUGAUCGCUGUGCUUUUACAUAAGAUUAAAGUGAUUAAAGUAAAUUACCUGAAGGAU